GAUGAACGCUGGCGGCGUGCCUAAUACAUGCAAGUCGAGCGAACGGACGAGAAGCUUGCUUUUCUGAUGUUAGCGGCGGACGGGUGAGUAACACGUGGAUAACCUACCUAUAAGACUGGGAUAACUUCGGGAAACCGGAGCUAAUACCGGAUAAUAUUUUGAACCGCAUGGUUCAAAAGUGAAAGACGGUCUUGCUGUCACUUAUAGAGGGAUCCGCGCUGCAUUAGCUAGUUGGUAAGGUAACGGCUUACCAAGGCAACGAUGCAUAGCCGACCUGAGAGGGUGAUCGCCCACACUGGAACGUAGACACGGUCCAGACUCCUACGGGAGGCAGCAGUAGGGAAUCUUCCGCAAUGGGCGAAAGCCUGACGGAGCAACGCCGCGUGAGUGAUGAAGGUCUUCGGAUCGUAAAACUCUGUUAUUAGGGAAGAACAUAUGUGUAAGUAACUGUGCACAUCUUGACGGUACCUAAUCAGAAAGCCACGGCUAACUACGUG
rnacentral:rRNA from 1 species